rnacentral:rRNA from 1 species
AUUGAACGCUGGCGGCAUGCCUUACACAUGCAAGUCGAACGGCAUCGCGGGAAAGCUUGCUUUCCUGGCGGCGAGUGGCGAACGGGUGAGUAACACAUCGGAACGUACCGGCUAGUGGGGGAUAACCCGUCGAAAGACGGGCUAAUACCGCAUACGCUCUUCGGAGGAAAGCAGGGGACCUUUGGGCCUUGCGCUAGCCGAGCGGCCGAUGUCCGAUUAGCUAGUUGGUGGGGUAAAGGCCUACCAAGGCGACGAUCGGUAGCGGGUCUGAGAGGGCGAUCCGCCACACUGGGACUGAGACACGGCCCAGACUCCUACGGGAGGCAGCAGUGGGGAAUCUUGGACAAUGGGGGCAACCCUGAUCCAGCAAUGCCGCGUGGGUGAAGAAGGCCUUCGGGUUGUAAAGCCCUUUCGGCAGGGAAGAAAUCGGCGGGGCGAAUAACCCUGCUGGAUGACGGUACCUGCAGAAGAAGCACCGGCUAACUACGUG